rnacentral:rRNA from 1 species
GUGGGGAAUCUUGCACAAUGGGCGAAAGCCUGAUGCAGCGACGCCGCGUGGGGGAUGAAGCUUUUCGGAGUGUAAACCCCUUUCGACCCGGACGAAUGCCCCGCAAGGGGACUGACGGUACGGGUAUAAGAAGCCCCGGCUAACUACGUGCCAGCAGCCGCGGUAAGACGUGGGGGGCCAGCGUUGCUCGGAAUUACUGGGUGUAAAGGGUUCGUAGGCGGUGUAGCAAGUCGGGAGUGAAAUCUCUGGGCUCAACCCAGAGACUGCUUCCGAAACUGCUGUGCUUGAGUGUGGGAGAGGCGCGUGGAAUUGCAGGUGUAGCGGUGAAAUGCGUAGAUAUCUGCAGGAACACCCGUGGCGAAAGCGGCGCGCUGGACCACUACUGACGCUGAGGAACGAAAGCUAGGGGAGCAAACAGGAUUAGAUACCCGAGUAGUCC